AAAUGUGGAAGUUGUGGCUAUCCUGAGGCUUUCUCAACCAUGAAAGCUUCCUGUCUGGCCUUAAAUGAUUUUUCUGGUGCACUGCUGCCUUGCCAUUUUGGCCUGUAAUUCUCUCCAGGAUAUGGGUGUUACUUUUCUAAUGGCUAAAUAUGUUGUUGGCACUUUACCAAAUCUUUGAGCUGAGGACUUGAGAGGCUGCAAGCAAUGGACCGCUUGAGAGAACCAUGAAAACUUAAAUGGUUCAACAGCCUCUUGAAUAGAAUAGCCUUUGAACUGAAUCCUUGAACAGUUGCUCUACUGGCUGUGCCAGAGGGUAGCUGCACUCAGACCUUGUGCUGACUGUUUCCUUUUAGGGUACAGUAGGUGCAAUUAUCUAGUCUUCAUAAAUAGCUCUUCAGUUUGCAGUCCCUACCAUCCAUUGCAUCUGUCCUUGCCAGUGUGGUUGGCUUACUCCGUAAGUUAUCCAUUCCAUUACAGCUGCAUAACAUUGUGAUCAGGUGGGCAGUGUCCUCCAUCAGGGUUUUGUUUGUUUCUUUCCAUUUCCUCACCAAACAGCCUACACUCCAUUCCUACUGCUCGAAUAGCACUGCAUAUCUAAGGAAUACCUCAUCUUUUUUUUUUUCCCCUAAGUGUCGAGAAACAAGAAGAGCUGCCAUCAGUCUUACACUUUGGUCUCUCCGCUGUUAUUCAGUAGUACUAAGGGUGUUUUCUGUGAUGGAGGUGCUAUUUUCAGUGAGCGAGAGAAACCCCAGAAGAGGUUCUAAGAACGAAAUCCUUAUUUGCACAACUGGCUAAGAUGGAGUCAAGGGCUUUUCUGCCCAUUCUUCCAGAGGAGAGUACCUCCUAGAACGGGAGGUCAGUAAUAGAUGAACAGUUUUUAGGUCCCGCUCUGGCUGUGCUGUCCCUGAACUAUAAGCCAGAAGUUCUACUAGGCAACAAUGAAGUACAUCUCUUAUCAUAGACACAGAAACCUUAGAAGCUUGGUGAGGCUGGAAAUUUGCCAAAGGUUUGAGUUUCUUUUUCCAGUUUUGGAAAGAUGUGGCAGAAUCCCUGUACAAAAAGGUGUGUGUGACUUAAACAUGAAAAAUAAAAGUUGAUUUAAUAUCCUGUGUUGAGCA
rnacentral:lncRNA from 1 species